rnacentral:misc_RNA from 1 species
AAGUCGUAACAAGGUUUCCGUAGGUGAACCUGCGGAAGGAUCAUUAUUGAAUAAACUUGAUGUGGUUGUAGCUGACUCUCGCAAGAGAGUAUGUGCUCAUCGCGUCACCUUUAUAUUUCCACCUGUGCACUUUUUGUAGAUUUGGAUUGUAGCUUUCCGAGGUAACUCGGUUGGGAGGGGAAUGUCAUUUAUGGCUUUCCUUGUAACAUGUUCAAAUCUAUGUUUUCAUAUACUCCAGAAAUGUAACAGAAUGUAUCAUUGGGCCCUUGUGCCUAUAAACUUUAUACAACUUUCAGCAACGGAUCUCUUGGCUCUC